GGGUCGCGGGCCGACUCAGCUUAGCAUCACCCUCAUACCUGACUACUAUCCCAAAGGAAGCCUUGACGAAAUACAGUGCACCAACAGUGUUCCAAUAACAGCCCAUCAAAGAAAAAGCCAUGAGGAUUUUGUCUUUUGAUUGGCAGCCACCCAGUUUCCUCAACAUAGUUUGGCAAGACUUGUGAUUGAGUACACACGAAGAAACCAAAACAUAUACUGGAAGAAGGAAAAAUACUGAAAAGCAGUGAUCUUGUAAGAAUAUAAAAGUAACAAAGAUCUCAAAGAAUAUUGUUAUGGUUUUUGCCCACCAAAAAGAUUCAUUUUAGUUUUAUUAUAACACCUUGGGCACA